rnacentral:rRNA from 1 species
AGAGUUUGAUCAUGGCUCAGACGAACGCUGGCGGCGCGUUUAAGCAUGCAAGUCGAACGGCAGCGCGGAGCAAUCCGCGUGAGAGUGGCGAACGGGUGAGUAACACGUAGGUGAUCUCCCCUGGUUUUGGGGAUAGCCCGUGGAAACACGGGGUAAUACCGAAUACGCUCCUGGGGCUGUAGCCCUGGGAGGAAAGGCGCGGAUGCGCCGAACCGGGAUGAGCCUGCGGCCCAUUAGCUAGUUGGCGGGGUAAGAGCCCACCAAGGCGACGAUGGGUAGCCGGCCUGAGAGGGUGAGCGGCCACACUGGGACUGAGAUACGGCCCAGACUCCUACGGGAGGCAGCAGCUAAGAAUCUUCCGCAAUGGGCGAAAGCCUGACGGAGCGACGCCGCGUGGACGAUGAAGGCCGAAAGGUUGUAAAGUCCUUUUCUCUGUGAAGAAUAAGGGUGCGAGGAAAUGCGCGCCUGAUGACGUUAGCAGAGGAAUAAGCCCCGGCUAAUUACGUGCCAGCAGCCGCGGUAAUACGUAAGGGGCGAGCGUUGUUCGGAAUUAUUGGGUGUAAAGGGCGCGUAGGCGGUUUUACAAGUCCGGUGUGUAAGGCAACAGCUUAACUGUUGUUUUGCGCUGGAAACUGUGAGACUUGAGUUUAGGAGGGGGAGCUGGAAUUCCAGGUGUAGGGGUGAAAUCUGUAGAUAUCUGGAAGAACACCGGUGGCGAAGGCGAGCUCCUAGCCAUAGACUGACGCUGAGGCGCGAAAGCGUGGGGAGCGAACAGGAUUAGAUACCCUGGUAGUCCACGCUGUAAACGAUGUACACUAGGUGUCGGGCCAAGAGGUUCGGUGCCGGAGCAAACGCGUUAAGUGUACCACCUGGGGAGUAUGCCGGCAACGGUGAAACUCAAAGGAAUUGACGG